GGACUGAAUCCAGGGCCUUGCGCUUGCUAGGCAAGCACUCUACCACUGAGCUAAAUCCCCACCCCCUGAUCUAUAAUUAUUAAGUAUACUAAUUCACCUCAAACUCACAGAGACCCAUUAUUCUCUGCCUCCCUGUUGCUGGGAGUAAGGUAUGGACUACCAUGCUGGUUCACGAGAGAAUUAUGAAGGAUCUGGCAAGAUGGCUCAGUGGGAAAAGGCACUUGCCAUGAAAACUCCCUAAGAAUUUUUUUCUGAAGGUUUUAUGUGCUAGGUGUCCAGCACUUGGGAGGCAGAGGCAGGUGGAUCUCUGAGUUUGAGGCCAGCCUGGUCUACAAAGCGAGUUCCAGUACAGCCAGGGUUAUACAGAGAAACCCUGCCUUGGAAAAUUUAAAGCGGAAAGUUUUUAUAUAGGGCAUGCCUGCGUGUGUCUGUUUUCGUGCACGUCUGGCGUCCACAGAGCCAGAAGACGGUAUUGGUUCCCCAGGAACUGGAGUCAGAUGGCUGUGAGCUGCCAUGUUGGUGAUGAGACUCAAACCUAGGUCCUCUGGAAGAGCAGCCACUGCUCCUUAACUGCUGAGCGGUCUUUCUAGCCUCUCAUGAUCUAAUGAUUUGAUCCUUCAGUUCACAUAAAGCUGUAGAGGGGACGCCAGACUUACCCCUGGCCUCCACUGUAAAUGCCAUGUGCCAUGUGACCUCAAAGCAGGUUCCUGAGGGACACCUGAGUUCUCUGGAAAAAAAAAAGAUGGGUGUGUGUAGGCAGGCAGAGACACAUUUAAGACCUGAGCAAGGGGUUGGGGAUUUAGCUCAGUGGUAGAGCGCUUGCCUAGCAAGCGCAAGACCCUGGGUUCGGUCCCCAGCUCUGGGGGGCGGGGACCUGAGCAGCUUAUAGCCUGGUUUUUGGAGUGGCCUAGGGCACCAAGGACCAUUAUUAUGUAGACCUAGUUUCAAAUUAUGAAGACACAAAAAAUGGUGUGCCUUCACAGAGUACCAAAUUCCAAGGUAGCUUCUCAGGUGAGUUAUGGACAGAAUGCAGAAUUCAUGUAACUUUCUCUUGAAUUUUUGAGACAUGGUCUGACAUGGUCUGUGUACCCCAGGUUGGUCUCAAACUAGUGACGAUUCUCCUACCUCAGCCUCCCCAGUACUGUGACUGCAGCAGUGCCACACGUGGUUUCCUUUGUCCAAUGAAGCGGUGACUGGUACCUGGAACCUGUAUUUGCCCUAAAGUAAAAUGAAACAAACACAUGAGGGUGCUUAGGAGUUCUGACACCCUGUACAUGGGGGCAAGCUAGUUUUACUUUCCUCGCCGGCUUUUCCUCAGACGUUUGCAGUCUAGCCCAAGCUGAGCUAUAUAUAAAACUCAGGACAGUCUUGCCAUAGCCUCACAAGAGCAAGGACUGUAAGCCGUUUUUGUGCUCAGCAUUUAUGUGUGCUUUCUCUUACAUUUUUGUUUAUGAGCCUAUCCUUGAAUGGCUAAGCCAUCUCUGCAGCAGCCCCCUUCCCCAUGGUCUCGCUGUGUAGCUCUGGAACUCACUAUGUGGACCAAAUUCACAGAGAUCUGCCUGCCUCUGGAUCUCAAGUGCUGGGAUUGAAGACACAGGCCACUAAGCCUGACUUUACGUGAGCCUUUCUCAACUCCAAAAACAGCAGCCUGGGGAUUGGGGAUUUAGCUCAGUGGUAGAGCGCUUGCCUAGGAAGCGCAAGGCCCUGGGUUCCAUCCCCAGCUCCGGGGGGGGGGGGGGGGGGGGAGCAGUCAGUGUUCUUAACCACUUAGCCAUCUCUGCAGCCCAAAGUGUUUUUUUGAAGUUGUAUGUGUAAGUGUGUGACCCACUGGUAAGUGCACCAUUUGCUUGCCUGAUGCCAUAGAGUUCAAAGAAGGCAUCAGACUCUCUAGAACUGGCACUGCAUGUAGUCAAACCCAGGUUCUCUGCAAAGGCAGUGAGUGUUCUUAAGCUGCCGGCUAUCUUCUACCCUCUGUCAGCCCCCUUCUUGUGAACCAGUUUUCUUACUCAUGUAUUAUAGUAUAUCUGCUAUUACACUAGUAUUAGACUGUUAGAAUCCCAUAUUUCAGAACCGUUUCAUUGCUUUGUGUGUAUGUUUGUGUACAUGUUCACAUCCACACACCCAAGGGUGGGCCUGGUAUCUUCCUCAAUCCCUUUUCCCCUUAAUUUUUGAGAUGACUGUAUCUCGUAGGAUCUGGACCUUGCCAGUUUGUAUAGACUGGCUGGUCAGUAUCCGCAGAGAUCUCUUUGUCUCCCCAGUGCUGGGAUUACAGGCACAGUGCCCUAUCUUGCUUUUACAUGGGUGUUAGGGGUCAAACUCAAGCUUCUGUGACAAGCAUUUCAGCAACCCGACUCCUCUGCUAGAGCCUCUAGUGCUGAGCUGUGAGAGCACCUAGUGCGAGCUGUGAGAGCAUCUAUACUGAGCUGUGAGAGCAUCUAGUACUGAGCUGUGAGAGAUCUAGUGCUGAGCUGUGAGAGCACCUAGUGCAAGCUGUGUCUCCAGCCCUACCUAGCCACUGCUUCACAUUUGUACAGAACAGGCUGGCCUUCAGCUUAAAGAGAUAUUGCCUGUGCCUCUAACAAGUGCUGGAUUAAUGAGUUUCUUUCCAUAUAAUAUAAAGUGCUUAUUAAGGGAGGACCUCUGAGAAAAUGCAGAUUAAGCUAUAAAACCAGCUUCAAGUUCACUGCAAGUUUUGGAGUCAUCAUCUUUGUUAUCAUACAUGAGACUCAUAAUCUAAAAGGAACUGACCUUUUUGUAUAUUUGUGUGUGCGUGCGUGCGUGUGUGUGUGUGUGUGUGUGCACGCGUGUGUGUGUGUGUGUGCGCGCGCGCGCGUGUGUGUAUGAAUGUACACUCUCAGGGCAGUGGUGCAAAUGUGGAGCUCAGUAGUAAUUUAUGAAUGUUGGUUCUCUCCUACCACGUGGGUCCCAGGAAACAAACUGAGGAUGUUGUACUUGAUGGCAGGUGCCUUUACCAGCUGAGUCAUUUCAACACUCUGCCCUGCAACGAUUAAUUCUCUCCUAAGUUUAGUCAUAUUAUAGCUGGAUUGAGAUUGGGUCUCUGUAGCUCAGGCUGGCCCUGAACUCUGUUUUAACCUUCCACGCGCAUGAGUCUUCUGCCUCUUGAAAUCCUAGAAGUAACCCUUUUUAUGUACCUAGGCGCUAUGAAAGAGACGUAACCUCCUAUCUUUUUUUUUUUUGGGGGGGGGGUUCUUUUUUUUCGGAGCUGGGAAUUGAACCCAGGGCCUUGCGCUUCCUAGGCAAGCACUCUACCACUGAGCUAAAUCCCCAACCCCGUAACCUCCUAUCUUGAGGGAACAAACUCUGUAGAAUGUUUAUAAGGAAAUGAUUAUAAUGGGAAACACAUUAUAGUAAUCCAGGAUAUAUUUUCUAAUUAUAUAUAUUAUAUAUGCAUAUAUUUUUUUCUGGUUUUUUGAAAUGGUUUCACUGUGUAGCCUUGGCUGUCCUGGAACUUACUCUGUAGACUAGCCUGGCCUUGAACUCGCAGAGACAUCAGGUCAGGAUAAUGAAGCAGGGUUUCACAGUCCAAAGACUUCAUGAAGUCAGGGCAAGGAGCUCACAAAGCCCCGUAUUCAUCCUUUUCUGUUAGCUGGGAUUAGGGAGACAUUUUCUUUAGUAAUGUAAUCACUGGUGAGGUGCUAUCUUCCUAUAAAUAACUGUACUCAAUGCUCCUGUAAGCAACCCUGAUGAAAUUCACUGAGGUGCGACAUACACCUAAAUGAGAGAGAAAACACAUGAGAGUGAAGUGGGGGGGGGGUCAGUUGGAAAGGAGAAAUGAAUAGUGUAAUGUGUGUGAAAAUAGAGUGAUCCCCGGGGACUGGGAGGAGGGGUGCAGUGAUCCGGAUGUGAAGUGAGUACAAAAGUGAAAGAUCAGCUGACAGGAAGAAGCUGGUGCUGUGAGAUGAUAUGGCAGCAGCAAGGAGGGUGAAAGGAAGCUUCCUGAUCCAAGACAGCAGGAAGUGAGGACUGGCCAGAUGGCUGUGCAAGCAGCAUGGGAGUCAGCACAGCUGUGCCAUGCACCUGUUCCUGUGUCUGCUGCACCCAUCCAUAGGAUGGUGAGAGGAACUCUAGGAUUAAUCUUAGGAAAAAUAAACGCUUGGGGAGAAUAGUAGUGUACACCUUUAAUCCCAGGACUUGGAGGUAGAAGUGGGUGAAUCUCUGAAUGUGAGGCCAGCUUGGUCUACAGAGUGAGUUCUAGAACAGCCAGGACUACACAGAGAAACCCUGUCCUGAAAAACAAAAACCAAACCAACCAAAGGAAAUGAACACUGCCACACUGCUGCAGUGGAAUGGCAGGGGUGGGGCCAGUGAAGCAGAGCUGUGCAGCUCCCAGCUGAACUCUCCCAAUCACAUGCCACUCCCAAAGCCCUUAAGAGGAGGUCCCGAGUCACGCACAUGCCUUUGAUCCCAGCACUUGGGAGGCAGAGACAAAUCUCUGUGAGUUCCAGGCCAGCCAGGGCUACACACAGAAACACUAUCUUGAAAAACAAAAGAAUAGGAGAAAAGAAUAAGCCCCCUUUGCUCUGUUGGACAAGGC
ensembl:lncRNA